rnacentral:lncRNA from 1 species
GUUCAAGCGAUUCUCGUGCCUCAGCCUCCCAAGUAGCUGGGAUUACAGGUAUGUGCCACCAUGCCUGGCAACUUUUUGUAUUUUUAGUAAAGACUGGGCUUUACCAUAUUGGCCAGGCUGGUCUCAAAUUCCUGACCUCAAGUGAUCUGCCCGCCUCAGCCUCCCAAAGUGCUGGGAUUACAGGCGUGAGCCACCAUACCUGGCCCAAUGCUGCUAUCUUUAUCAUUAUGAUUACUCAGAUGGGAGGAGGAAAUUAGUCAAACGUGAAGUCAAGAGAGACCCAAGAUCCUGGACAUCUUGGACUCGGCUGGGUUGGGUUCUCUGUGCUCCUCACCUCCCCAGGACUUCCCCCAACCUACCCACUACCCUACCCACACCCUACCCACUACCAGUAUGGGCACAUCAGGAACCUCAUGCUGUCAGGCUGACAGCUACCUUCAGGCCAGAGCCCCAUGCCUACAUCCAUGCCCUCUGUGCCUAGCACCCAGCCAGCCUUCUGAUCUUUUUAUUUUAUUUAUUUUAAUAGAGAUAGUCUUGCUAUGUUAUCCAAGCUGGUCUCGAACUCCUGGACUCAAGCGCUUCUCCCACCUUGGCCUCCCAAAGUGCUGAGAUUACAGGCAUGAGCCACAGUGCCCGGUUGCCCUCUGAUCUCUUAAAGGUGGCCAGUGGGAGCUGGGGGCGCCCAUUCCCAUCCGAGAAGAGAUACCUGCAAGAGGAGGCAGCAGACCCUAUUCUCUACCCACACUGGGGAGGGCACCACAGGCUGGGGAAUCCCUAGGAAAGGUAAAUGCAGCCCCACUGAGCUGAGUGUGCAUCAGCCUGGUGACAUGUGAGCUGGCUACAGAGCACAAGCAGAGAAAGACAUUCCCAAGCUUAGGUGGGUAGAUGGCAGAGAGCUGUAGGCUCUCCGAGUGGAAGCCAGUAUCAGUGAGUUAGGAAGCUGGUCAGGAGGGCAGGGCAUGAGGCACGGGGCCAGGUUGGCUGUGGUGGGGGCCAGGAUGUGGGAGGAGAUGGGCAUGUUGGUCCCUGCACUGCAGUGGGAGCUGGCUGACCCUGAGAAGGACAAUCCCAGAGGAGGCUGGGGGAUGAGGAGGCAGCAGUGAGGGAGCAGAGGCCCUGGUGGGCAGUCAGCCCCCACCUCCAUCCCUUCCAGGCAUGUCCAAGGAGCAUCGUCAUCACAGCCCCAGCCUUGUGCCCCUCACAGGCUGCCCCCAGCAGCCCCUGAGGUCAGGAGCCCUUCUGAUGACUGAGGGUAGGGAAUGGUCCUCUGACUUCUGGCUGGGAUACAUUCUGGCCUCAGAGGCUCCUUCCUCUCCUCCAAGGAGGCGAUUAAAAUCCUCUGCCACUUCCUGGCUCUGUAGCUCCACCUUAGAAUCCUUCUCUGAGUCACAGAAAGGGUGAACACAGAAAUGCUCCCCCCAUACCCCACCUCCUUUGACUUCUCGGGCUGCAUUUAAAACAAGUGGUGAGAUGGUGUUUGUGGAAGCUUUGGAAACUAUAAAGUGGCUCUCUGGAGGUUCGUGACCAUCCCUGGGAUCCACUCUCAGCCUCUCCAUAGAUGGGCAGAGUGCACGUCUUAAAUGCACACUGAAUCCUGUGCUGCUUAAACCCCUUCAGUGCUCUCCCACUGCACUUAGAAUAAAACCCUUGCCCCUUGCUCUGGUCCUUUCAGCCGCACAGAAUGGAACCUUCUUUCAGGGAAAGCACCACACCCUCCUGUCCAUUCCUCAAGGGUGCCCAGCUAAGCCCAUUCUCCUCAGGCCUUCUGCCUGAACUCUCCUGCCCACCUCUUCCUGUGAGAAGCCUUUCCUGACCCCCUGAUCUAAGCCAACCCCUUUGUAAUUCUAUUAAAUUCCUUUUCGCUGUCUGUUUCUCUCUGUAGAUUACCUGUCCAUGAGGGCAGAGACCUCAUCUAUUUUAUUUUUGUAUCCCCAGUAUUAGCACAGUGUCUAGUACAAAGUAGGACUUCACACCUAUUUGUGGAAUGAAUGAAUGAAUGAAUGAAUCGUAUUCCCAAUGCACAGUGCUGGGAUAAUAAGAGUUAUUUAUUUACUGACAGCUGAGCAUGUGCCAGGAACUCCUGCAAGUGCUUCACAGGCAUCAUUUUCACUUAAUCUUUAUAAUCACCUAACACGGGAGGUGCCAUUAUUAUCCCCAUCUUGAGGAGGGAUACUGAUAAGGAUAAGGGAGGAGGCAAAGUGAUUUGCUGGUGGUCUUCUCAGGGUCAGAGCUGGAAGAGAGUGGUGAAGUGGGUGGUCCAGCUUCAGCACUCACCUUCCCAUGCACCCCGUUAUGCUGCCUGGCAACCCCAGAGUCAGGUGAGGGAGCAGCUGAGGGGGUCCAAGCAGCAAUGGGUGCCUGGACCGCACAAGCUUUUUCAAACAUUCCAGCCCAGGAUUCCCCUAUUCAUUCAGCCAGGAAGCUGGAGGAGGAGGUGGUGGGGGAUGGGGGCGGUAGCCCAGAGUGGUCACAUAUUCCAGGGUCAGAGGGCUCCCUAACUGCUUUGGCAGCCCAUUCCAUCUUGGAAUGUCCCAUCUGCCCAAACAGUCUUCUUACACUGGGCCUGAAACACUCUCCUACUUGCUUGUCCUACUUGUAGGUCUACACCCCACGGAUGUCACGGAGCCAGCCCCACCCCCGCCCCCACCUCCUUUUGGAGUUAUGGUCUCAUGUGACUCUGUUCCAGCCCCCAUCACCAUCCCACCCUCUGGGUUCUCCCAAAAAAAGGCAAGGGCAGCUCUUCUGUCUCCACACCAGGCCUUCCAGACUGGCGAGAUGCGAAUCAGACCUUUUAAUGACUAAAUUGACACUGUUCUGUGACCUGAAGGGACUGGAGAAAAGAUGGCCAGAGUUGUCAGGGGCCUGCCUGGGUUUCCAGCCACAGAGGGGAAGAACUAGCCUGGCAGGAUUGAGAGGCAGCUAACCGUCUCCCUGCGGCAAGUGUGGGGGUCAAACUCACCCUCUUUACAAGUCAACUCAACUGCCCGAGUUGGGCAACUUCACAAAGAUGAGGUAAGUGAACUGGAC